UACAGGGGGUGCAAGCGUUGUCCGGAAUGAUUGGGCGUAAAGCAUCUGUAGGUGGUUCGUAAAGUCAACUGUUAAAUCCCAGAGCUCAACUUUGGACAAGCAGUUGAGUACUUACGGACUCGAGUAUAGUAGGGGCAGAGGGAAUUCCUAGUGGAGCGGUGAAAUGCACAGAGAUUAGGAAGAACACCAGUGGCGAAAGCGCUCUGCUGGGCUAUGACUGACACUGAGAGAUGAAAGUUAGGGGAGCGAAAAGG
rnacentral:rRNA from 1 species